rnacentral:rRNA from 1 species
AGAGCAUGAUUGGGCUUAAAGUGUGCGUAGGUGGUCGUUUAAGUCCGUUGUGAAAGCCCUGGGCUCAACCUGGGAACUGCAGUGGAUACUGGGCGACUAGAGUGUGGUAGAGGGUAGCGGAAUUCCUGGUGUAGCAGUGAAAUGCGUAGAGAUCAGGAGGAACAUCCAUGGCGAAGGCAGCUACCUGGACCAACACUGACACUGAGGCACGAAAGCGUGGGGAGCAAACAGGAUUAGAUACCCUGGUAGUCCACGCCCUAAACGAUGCGAACUGGAUGUUGGGUGCAAUUUGGCACGCAGUAUCGAAGCUAACGCGUUAAGUUCGCCGCCUGGGGAGUACGGUCGCAAGACUGAAACUUAAAAAAUUAGACGG